AAUGAACGCUGGCGGCGCGCCUAAUACAUGCAAGUCGAGCGAGAAGACGUAGCAAUACGUUUGUAAAGCGGCGAACGGGUGAGGAAUACAUGGGUAACCUACCCUCGAGUGGGGAAGUAACUAGCCGAAGGUUAAGCUAAUACCGCGUACGCUCCUUGGACUUCGGUUCAGGGAGGAAAGCGAUACCGUGGGUAUCGCGCUCUUGGUUGGGCUCAUGUCCUAUCAGCUUGUUGGUGAGGAACGGCUCACCAAGGCUUCGACGGGUAGCUGGUCUGAGAGGACGAUCAGCCACACUGGCACUGCGACACGGGCCAGACUCCUACGGGAGGCAGCAGUAAGGAAUAUUGCGCAAUGGGCGAAAGCCUGACGCAGCGACGCCGCGUGGGGGAGUGAAGGGUAC
rnacentral:rRNA from 1 species